UUAGCUUUUUUCUCAAUCGAAGAGAUAUUUAGGUAGAGCCGUCGACACCUUCUUUCUCCGGCCCGUCUUAGUUCGUCAGAGAGCUUUAAAUCAUCAUCACAUCUCUCCAUCGACCUCCUCCUUUCGUCUUUCCUCUUUAAACACCACUGAUUACAAUCAUUUUGUAAUCUCUGCCCGCUACGAUUGGAGUUGUUCAAGCUCUGGAGAAGUUUCUUGUUGCUGAUAAACGACCAUUAGCUUCACGUUGUUCUUUGUUUCUUCUUACUUCAUUUUGGUUACCAAAUUUUGGAGAAAGGAAGAGAAAGACAUGAGAAAGAUGUGGAAGAACAAGAAGAGAAGAAGUCGAAGAAGAAACACAACGACAGAUAAUGUACAGCAAGAAGAAAACCAAGUCACAGGAUGAUGAAUAGACAACAAGCCAAGUUUUUGUAGUGUUAAAAGUUUUUCCCCCACAUGGCAAGCUCUGUUUUAUUUUUUAAAACUUUAUAAACUUAAUUCCUGCCAAAUUUAUUGGAUUAGUUGUGAAUUGUUCAUAUCACAUAGUAUGGAUUGUUGUUGAAAUGGUUUGUGAUCAUCAUGUCGCUAGAGAUUCUGACAAACUCUAAAUUGCUAUAUAGCCUAGUCAUUUGUAGCUUGAAUUAUUUAAAUAUAAAAUGAUGGAAAUCA